AACUAAGGCAUAAAUAUAUAAACUAGAAAAUGACACUGAAUUUUAAAAUAAUUUUAUGAAAUCUGGCCCAUUUGAGCCAGCUUUGAAUUGAAGUCAACAACGUGUCAGCAAACCCGUUGCAGACUUCAAUUCAUAAAUUUCAAAAAUAUUUGAGAUCAGAACAAGAGAUCUCGAUUCCCCAUCUAAUCCCUGUUGCCGAGUAGAUAAGGCUACCCAACGAUGGUCGGUGCAUGAUCCUCGAACUCAUGUGAACUACCGACGACUGUUGGAGGCCGAUGCAACUGGCGAAUAGCGAACGUUAGGCUGGCCUUAUCUUCUCCAUGGUUGAAUCCUAUUUAAACCCAAUCCAUCCCUGUGAUCAGCCACACCGAAUCUCUCUCUACUUCCUCUCCCUUCUUUUCUUACCUUCGGUAGCCACCAUAACCCAGCACCGCCACCCUAUAGAUCCCAUUUUCUCUCAAAAGUCAUUGAUUUUUUGGUUUCUCCCCUUUGUUUCAAGAUUGAUUUGUGCCUCUCUUGCCGCUGGAAGUCUUUAUCGAUGGUCAUGACCCAUAGUGAUCGCCACUAUUGCCGAUAAGCCAUCCCCCUCCCUUUUUUUUCUUUUAGAUGGGGAUGCCGCUGCCAUGGCAACAAGGGGCAGUGUCCCUUUUUCCUCUCUUGGCUCUCUUAUGCACGGCUGGACUACUAUCCCUAGCCACUACCGAUCGUGUCACCACUC
rnacentral:lncRNA from 1 species